rnacentral:rRNA from 1 species
UAGAGUUUGAUCAUGGCUCAGGACGAACGCUGGCGGCGGGCCUAACACAUGCAAGUCGAACGCACUCGACCUUCGGGUCACAUGAGUGAGUGGCGAACGGGUGAGUAACACGUGAGGAACCUGCCCCGAAGACUGGAAUAACCCGAGGAAACUCGGGCUAAUACCGGAUAUCCCCACCAGGUCGCAUGGCCAGGUGAGGAAAUGCUCCGGCGCUUCGGGAGGGUCUCGCGGCCUAUCAGCUAGUUGGUGAGGUAACGGCUCACCAAGGCAUCGACGGGUAGCUGGUCUGAGAGGACGAUCAGCCACACUGGGACUGAGACACGGCCCAGACUCCUACGGGAGGCAGCAGUGGGGAAUCUUGCGCAAUGGGCGAAAGCCUGACGCAGCCACGCCGCGUGAGGGAUGAAGGCUUUCGGGUUGUAAACCUCUUUCAGCAGGGACGAAAAUGACGGUACCUGCAGAAGAAGCUCCGGCCAACUACGUGCCAGCAGCCGCGGUAACACGUAGGGAGCAAGCGUUGUCCGGAUUUAUUGGGCGUAAAGAGCUCGUAGGCGGUUCAGUCAGUCGGGUGUGAAAACUUGAGGCUCAACCUCAAGAGGCCACUCGAUACUGCUGUGACUAGAGUCCGGUAGAGGAGUGUGGAAUUCCUGGUGUAGCGGUGAAAUG